rnacentral:rRNA from 1 species
UACGUAGGGGGCAAGCGUUGUCCGGAUUUAUUGGGCGUAAAGCGCUCGCAGGUGGUUCGAUGCGUCGUGCGUGAAAGCCCCCGGCUCAACUGGGGAGUGUCGUGCGAUACGGUCGGACUGGAGGCCAGUAGGGGGAUGCGGAAUUCCGGGUGUAGUGGUGGAAUGCGUAGAUAUCAAGAGGAACACCUGAGGUGAAGACGGGUUGCUGGGCUGACACUGACGCUGAGGCGCGAAAGCCAGGGGAGCAAACGGG